rnacentral:rRNA from 1 species
UACGGGGGGUGCAAGCGUUGUCCGGAAUGAUUGGGCGUAAAGCAUCUGUAGGUGGUUCUUAAAGUCGACUGUUAAAGCCCAGGGCUCAACUUUGGAUAAGCGGUCGAGUACUUAAGGACUUGAGUAUGGUAGGGGUAGAGGGAAUUCCUAGUGGAGCGGUGAAAUGCACAGAGAUUAGGAAGAACACCGAGGGCGAAAGCACUCUACUGGGCCAUGACUGACACUGAGAGAUGAAAGUUGGGGGAGCGAAAAGG